rnacentral:rRNA from 1 species
CCUACGGGCGGCAGCAGUGGGGAAUAUUGGACAAUGGGGGGAACCCUGAUCCAGCCAUGCCGCGUGUGUGAAGAAGGCCCUCGGGUUGUAAAGCACUUUCAGUGAGGAAGAACGCCUGGUGGUUAAUACCCAUCAGGAAAGACAUCACUCACAGAAGAAGCACCGGCUAACUCCGUGCCAGCAGCCGCGGUAAUACGGAGGGUGCGAGCGUUAAUCGGAAUUACUGGGCGUAAAGCGCGCGUAGGUGGCUUGAUAAGCCGGUUGUGAAAGCCCCGGGCUCAACCUGGGAACGGCAUCCGGAACUGUCAAGCUAGAGUGCAGGAGAGGAAGGUAGAAUUCCAGGUGUAGCGGUGAAAUGCGUAGAGAUCGGGAGGAAUACCAGUGGCGAAGGCGGCCUUCUGGACUGAAACUGACACUGAGGUGCGAAAGCGUGGGUAGCAAACAGGAUUAGAUACCCUAGUAGUC